GAUUUCAAAUCCCCGUUCUUCAGUCUCUGAUGAUGUGCUUCGUAGUUUCCGCAAGGAGCUCACUAGUGCAGGCCCUUGUAAAGCAGUCUCCUACUGGGAUUCUAAAUCUUGCAUGCAAGCCACAGAGCAAAAAGCACAAGAGCGAGUUCGCGAGUUCCUUCCUUUCAGACGCCGACAAAACGUUGAGAGCUCCCAUGUCAACAUCUCCCAGGAAAACAUCUCUUUGCUUGUUGUACUCGAGCCUCUGCUUGAUCCGCAUUUCAUCUAUGACGAGGCUGCACAUGUUCCGUCAUGAGGCAUUUCAUCUCGGUGCUCAGCCUUUUUUUCCACAAGAUUACUGAAACCUACUUCAUCUGCAGUACUUCCUAGGUAUUUUUGAAGCGCUGUUCUGCAUGGAAGUGCGAGGAGCUCUGUUCUGAGGUAUUCAUACGACUUUGUGGAAAGGUUGCGCAAAAUUAUGCACUACUGUAGAGUGGUUUCGGACCACUUUGGUUUUUUUGCCUUGUAGUUCAGCACCUGAUCCAUAAUUAAUCUGGCUUUCGUACUGCCCUGGUUUGAAUCUCUGGCGACUUGAAGAAAUUGGUUGACAUUGCACUCUUUCUUUAGGGGUUGUAGCGCCUUUUUGUAAGCAUCGACAGUUUCUUGCAGCCUCUGAUUCCGUGCCUUCCAGGUCCUUUCUUUUUCGCGCCACUUCUUUCGUUCUAGGAAGGCUGAUGCGGAGCUUCUCCAUUCAGCUUGAGCACCCACUGAUCUCACGGCACGGGCGCCUGCCCCGUUUACUGGCUGCACAUCAGUUGGAAAAAUAAAGUUGACGCAUUUCCCGCUUGUUGAUGCCAAUAGAGGAGUAUCAGGCACAUCAUCACUGCAGACUGUAGAUACAUUUUCUGAUGUGACCUGAUGACUGGGCCAUCUGGGCUCGGGCGCUUGAGCAGGCAUGCAAACUUCAAGUGUGUCUGAGGACGAUGCAGGGCACGAAUACACUUCCUCAACGGGUGGAGGCAGGCUAGCCGGCGUGGCCGUAGAGGAAUCGCGCUUUCUUUUCUGUGUAACGCUAGAACUACUCACCUUAGGCUGCUCCUUCUUCAUGUAGGAUGGAUAGUGAGGAAAAACACUGGGCACUGCACCUAGCUUGAACAUGCAUGCGCCUCUUCGUGUCCUGGCGAAAG
rnacentral:lncRNA from 1 species